CAGGGAGACAACAAAAUGUUUAAUAUUAUUUUGUCACCUUAGGUCGAUCGGUAUCUCACAUUCUUAAUCUAUUAAGGAUUUCAUUUCCUAAGUUUUUCUAGGUCACACCCAUUUUUUUCCUGGGCCAUUAGCUCAGGUGGUUAGAGCGCACCCCUGAUAAGGGUGAGGUCCCUGGUUCAAGUCCAGGAUGGCCCAUAUCUCUAUGUUGGGGGUAUAGCUCAGUUGGUAGAGCGCCUGCUUUGCAAGCAGGAUGUCAGCGGUUCGAGUCCGCUUACCUCCACUGAUUACCACCUCUUCCAUAAUCGGUUAGAAGGAAAAUUCUUGAGUUGUGACCAAAUUCUGAACGAAUCUAGCUUCCUAAUGAAAUCAUUAAGAUGCUGGACUCAUUGAAUUAAUUUCAUUGUUUUCAGAGAACCUUGACAACUGCAUAGAUUAUUUUUAAAGACAAUAAGCAUCUUUAACGAUGCAGAUUUAUUAUUUGUGCGAAUGCAUUAAUAACAAUUCUAUUAAGCUGAUGCUUCAAUUUUUGAAGUUAUU
rnacentral:tRNA from 1 species